rnacentral:rRNA from 1 species
CUGGCUCAGGAUGAACGCUGGCGGCGUGCCUAAUACAUGCAAGUCGUACGAGGGAAGUCCAGCUUGCUGGACGGAACGAGUGGCGAACGGGUGAGUAAUACGUAAGCAACCUGCCUGCAAGGACUGGGAUAACACCUGGAAACGGGCGCUAAUACCGGAUAGGUAACAAAGGGGCAUCCCUACGUUAUUAAAGGUUAGAAACACAAGCAGAUGGGCUUACGGUGCAUUAGCUAGUUGGUGAGGUAACGGCCCACCGAGGCGAUGAUGCAUAGCCGGCCUGAGAGGGUGAACGGCCACAUUGGGACUGAGACACGGCCCAGACUCCUACGGGAGGCAGCAGUAGGGAAUUUUCGGCAAUGGACGAAAGUCUGACCGAGCAACGCCCGCGUGAGUGAAGAAGGUUUUCGGAUUGUAAAGCUCUGUUGUAAGGGAAGAACAGCACGGAAAGAAUCCGUGAAUGACGGUACCUUACCAGAAAGCCACGGCUAACUACGUGCCAGCCGCGGC